UCCAUAGGGAACUUCCAGCAUCUAUGAGGAAACAGAAUUUCUUUUGAUCACAGAAGAAAAGAGAAGAAUAUUAACCAUGGAGUGUCCACCAGCCUUUGUAGAUGACAGAAGCCACAGAGCUGAGGAAGGAGGGACAGCUGGGGGUGCCACUAUGAUUUCUGCCACCUGAUUCAUCCUUAAACAUCAAGAAGCUGACUUUCCUAGUGCCUUGGUGGAGGACAUGGUAGCUCCUCCAGGUCCUACUGAGA
rnacentral:lncRNA from 1 species